UGGCGGACGGGUGAGUAAUGUCUGGGAAACUGCCUGAUGGAGGGGGAUAACUACUGGAAACGGUAGCUAAUACCGCAUAACGUCGCAAGACCAAAGAGGGGGACCUUCGGGCCUCUUGCCAUCGGAUGCGCCCAGAUGGGAUUAGCUUGUUGGUGGGGUAAUGGCUCACCAAGGCGACGAUCCCUAGCUGGUCUGAGAGGAUGACCAGCCACACUGGAACUGAGACACGGUCCAGACUCCUACGGGAGGCAGCAUG
rnacentral:rRNA from 1 species